rnacentral:rRNA from 1 species
AAAAACUCCGGUGGCGUAAGAUGGACCCGCGUCUGAUUAGCUGGUUGGUGAGGUAACGGCUCACCAAGGCGACGAUCAGUAGCCGGCCUGAGAGGGUGAACGGCCACAUUGGGACUGAGACACGGCCCAAACUCCUACGGGAGGCAGCAGUGGGGAAUAUUGCACAAUGGGGGAAACCCUGAUGCAGCAACGCCGCGUGAGUGAAGAAGUCAUUCGUGAUGUAAAGCUCUAUCAGCAGGGAAGAAAAUGACGGUACCUGACUAAGAAGCCCCGGCUAACUACGUGCCAGCAGCCGCGGUAAUACGUAGGGGGCAAGCGUUAUCCGGAUUUACUGGGUGUAAAGGGAGCGUAGACGGCGACGCAAGUCUGAAGUGAAAUGCCAGUGCUCAACACUGGAACUGCUUUGGAAACUGUGUGGCUAGAGUGCAGGAGAGGUAAGUGGAAUUCCUAGUGUAGCGGUGAAAUGCGUAGAUAUUAGGAGGAACACCAGUGGCGAAGGCGGCUUACUGGACUGUAACUGACGUUGAGGCUCGAAGGCGUGGGGAGCAAACAGGAUUAGAUACCCUGGUAGUCCACGCGGUAAACGAUGAAAUGUAGGUGUCGGGGGGCUAUAGCCCUUCG